rnacentral:lncRNA from 10 species
AGCAGACGUCCCCUAGAGCCUAAAAUUUUUAAGGCUAUCCAGCUAAACAAGCACUGGCCUCAAGAUAAGCAAUAUUAAAACAAUUACAGCUCAUCCAGCUGGCAGAUGCUGAUUAACUGACCCCCUGUUUCACCAGCCACAACUACAGCUUGGAUUGGACAAGGAACUGAUUUCAGUAACUUUCUCCUGAUAAGAAGACCAGCGACCAUGGACUGCUUCUGGCCAAUUUACAGAGAUUGUGGACUCGUAUGCUUUCAUGUCCUGAAAAGACCCUUUGAUGCAUAGGGCCUAAUUAUAAUACAGUUAAAUGUUGUAUCUCCACCCCAAAGUGAACAUGGGUCAUAUGUCACAUGCAUGUGUGUUAAACACACAUGCAUCAGGACCUCCUUCAUGAAUAUUCAUAGCUUCUCCUGUAACCUGUUGAAUAUGUAUGUUUAGCCAAAACAUUUACCAUAAAUAUCUUACCUCAACCCCUCCUUCAAAGUGCUUCUCUCUGGGCUGUUGGCCAGAGGCUGUGCUUCUCAGCCUGCGGAAUGGCCACUUUGUAGGCUGUAACCCUUUGCAAUAAAUAAAACCUCCCUCUUUUCUUUUCUAAAUUUAUAUAUUGUGAUUUUUUUUUUUUUUUUUUAGCUAACAUUACAGACUUGGGGGUAGAAUGGGAACUGCCUUCCAAGACUUUGUUAUUGGCUGAAUUCUGUACCCCCAAAAGUCAUAUGUUGAAGUCCUGACCCCCAGUACCUCAGACUGUGAAUAUAUUUGGUGAUAUGGUCUGUAAAGAAGUAAAUAAGUUAAAAAUGAGGCUAUCAGGGUCAGCCCUAAUUCAAUAAGACUGGUUGUCUUGUAAGAAGAGAUUAAGACGCACACAUACACAGAGACAAGAUGACCAUCUACAAGCUAAGGAGGGAGGCAUCAGAAGAAACCAGUUCUGCUGACACCUUGAUCUCAGACUCCCAGCCUCCAGACUUGUGAGACAAUAAAAAGUCUAUUGUUUAAGCCAC